UACGGGGGGGCAAGCGUUGUUCGGAAUUCCUGGGCGUAAAGGGUUCGUAGGUGGCCAACUUAGUCAGACGUGAAAUCCCUCAGCUUAACUGGGGAACUGCGUCUGAUACUGGAUGGCUCGAGUGCAGGAGAGGAACGCGGAAUUCCAGGUGUAGCGGUGAAAUGCGUAGAUAUCUGGAGGAACACCGGUGGCGAAGGCGGCGUUCUGGACUGCAACUGACACUGAGGAACGAAAGCCAGGGGAGCAAACGGG
rnacentral:rRNA from 1 species